rnacentral:rRNA from 1 species
GAUGAACGCUGGCGGCGUGCCUAAUACAUGCAAGUCGAGCGAACAGACGAGGAGCUUGCUCCUCUGACGUUAGCGGCGGACGGGAGAGUAACACGUGGAUAACCUACCUAUAAGACUGGGAUAACUUCGGGAAACCGGAGCUAAUACCGGAUAAUAUAUUGAACCGCAUGGUUCAAUAGUGAAAGACGGUUUUGCUGUCACUUAUAGAUGGAUCCGCGCCGGAUUAGCUAGUUGGUAAGGUAACGGCUUACCAAGGCAACGAUGCGUAGCCGACCUGAGAGGGUGAUCGGCCACACUGGAACUGAGACACGGUCCAGACUCCUACGGGAGGCAGCAGUAGGGAAUCUUCCGCAAUGGGCGAAAGCCUGACGGAGCAACGCCGCGUGAGUGAUGAAGGUCUUCGGAUCGUAAAACUCUGUUAUUAGGGAAGAACAAAUGUGUAAGUAACUAUGCACGUCUUGACGGUACCUAAUCAGAAAGCCACGGCUAACUACGUG